rnacentral:lncRNA from 1 species
UACUGGACCUCCUAGCAACCCUAUUUCACCCACUUCAGCCCACUCCAAAACUGGUAUGCAGACAAGCUUUCAGUUCCGUGCAUCUGUAUCUCAUGGAUUUAAAUAACCUCUUAUCUUUUAUUUCUGUUCACAGUCUGGAGGUGGAAACAGAACAUUACAAUCCGAUGUGGAUUCAAGUAUCUGACUGUAGGCAAUGAUGGUCCCAGAUGUUACUUUCGCCAGGAACAAGAACAUGUCAUUCCUAUGCAAACUGACCUUGUCAAAUCUGUUCCCUUUUUUCUUUUGAAAGACUGAAUACAAGCCACCUAAGCACAGGUGCAGCUCAUCUGAUUGGCUCCAAGCAGUGUAAGCUUCCUGGAAGUGCUAAUGUGUAAUUCCUCCAGAGAUGAGUGGUAGGGAAGCAUGGACUAUCCGGAAGACCAGGGAGAGCCAUUGAAAUAAACUGCACCAGAAUCCAGGCUGGGACCCA